CCGCGUGCGCGAUGAAGGCCUUCGGGUCGUAAAGCGCUUUUCGGGUGGAUGAGAGAGGACAGUACACCCGGAAUCAGGUACGGCUAACUACGUGC
rnacentral:rRNA from 1 species